rnacentral:tRNA from 1 species
GUAGGUGUAGUUUAACUCAAAACCCCAGAUUGUGAUUCUGAAAAUGGAGGUUAAAUUCCCCCCGCCUACC